AAAUCAUAGUCAAGAAAGAAAUCAAGGAAAAAAGAAGAUCAUCAAUCGUGCUUGAUCUCCCAAUUGCAGACGCAGCAGCCACUGCCUCUCCUCUCUCGCAGACGCCCGCCGCCGCCGCCAGACGCCGCCCCCUCUCCUCCAUCACAGCCGCGGCCCCCUCUCCUCCAUCGCAGCCGCCAGCCACCACGGCCAGCCCAUCUCCUCCAUCGCCGACGCGAGCCGCCACCGCCGCCCCCUCCCUCCGUCGCAGCCGCCAGACGCCGCCGCUGCCCCUCCCUCCGUCACAGCCGACAGCCAAGGGACAACAAGCUGCGAGAACCUCUAUGACAGUAGAGUAGGAUUGUUGUGCAGGAGGCGCUUGGUUUGAAUCGAAAGAAUCAAGAUUGUCACCGAUUAGAGUGUGCUGAACAACCAUUUGCAGUGUAAAGUCUGCCGUCCAAAGGGUUUUGGGGGCCUUGGCAUUGCUGAUCUUGCCACCCAAGGACGUACCCUUUUCUUUGGCUCCGCUGGCUGUGGUUGGCAUGGGUGGACGAGACCAAGCCUUGGCAGGGACUGGUGACUCCAUCUGACCAGGAGACGGCGGCAAUAUUCAGAGCAGUAAACCGCCUUACGGUUGGAGAUGGUAUGAAGAUUUCGCCAGUUUUGGUGCACAAGAGUCCCAAAUUUGUAUAAUUGUUGUAAUUUUGCGUUGAUACAAUAGUGAGUAGGUGAUGUAGCUAACAGACUUUGGAGGCUUCAGAUGUAUGUAAAGCUGGUAAAGUUUUCGUGUUGAUGAAUUGAAAACUUUUGAAAUUUUCAUUUGUCGAUGGUA